AUGAGCGACCCCAAGUACGCCUACCCCUACCCCGCGCAAGGUUACUACCAGGGGGGGCCAUACCAGGGGCAGGGCGGCCCGUACCAGGGGCCGCCGGUGAUGGCGCCGCCGCAGUACGCCGCGCCGCCGCCGCGCGCCCAGCCCAGCUUCCUCGAAGGCUGUUUGGCUGCGCUUUGCUGCUGCUGCCUGAUCGACGAGUGCUGCUGCGACCCCUCCAUCAUCUUCGUCGGCUAG
rnacentral:rRNA from 1 species